rnacentral:rRNA from 1 species
UACGAGGGGUGCAAGCGUUAUUCGGAAUUAUUGGGCGUAAAGGGUGCGCAGGCGGCGCAUUAAGUCAACUGUUUAAUUUCCUGGCCUAACCGGGAGACAGCGGUGGAAACUGAUGUGCUAGAGUAUGGAAGAGAGAAGUGGAAUUCUCGGAGUAGCGGUAAAAUGCGUAGAUCUCGAGAGGAACACCGAUGGCGAAGGCAGCUUCUUGGUCCAUUACUGACGCUCAUGCACGAAAGCGUGGGGAGCAAACAGGAUUAGAUACCCCCGUA